rnacentral:tRNA from 1 species
AGCCUAUUAGCUCAAUUGGUAGAGCUAUGUUCUUUUGAACAUGAUGUAGGUUCGAAUCCUACAUAGGCUA